rnacentral:lncRNA from 1 species
CACCCUAAUGCACCCUGUGGCUAGGGACUAAUUCACCCCUUUCUCAAAAACGCACCCCUUUAAAUGGUAGAACUCCGCGGUUUUUUUAUAUUUAGACGCCCAUUGACCAUAUUAAACAGAGUAUACUCUUUUUAGUACAUGCGUAGUACAAGCAUAGCAAGUACCCUAAAAAAUAUUCUAAAUUUCAUGUUCUUUGCAUAUACUUUAAAGAAUAUUCUUGUAUCGAAUAUACUGAGCACAUUCGUGUACGUAGUAUCUCUGUAUAUUCGUAAAAGUAUAUUAUUAGAAUAUACCUUCAUCGAAUAUACUUUAAAAGUAUGUACUUAACACAUACUUGUACGUAUGUACUUUUAAAAUAUCUUAAAAAGAAUAUGUAUGUAUAGGAAAAAUAAUGUUAGCCUUAUAGAUUAUCAACUUAUUAUUUUUAGAAUAAUUAAUAAAAUUUAUGUAUGUGGGUAUCCCGGACGAAUUCAUUUCUUAAAAUUGUUUUAAUUACCGACAAAUCCUAAUAAUAAAAUGCCGAUAAAAUAAAAGAACAACAGUUUAUCUGGUUUGACCAAGCAAAAUAAUGGAAAAAGAGAAUUUUCAAAAUAUGGAAUAAAACGCAGAAGAUCCUGACGAAGUUUUAAAAGCGGAAUAGACGUUUAGACGAGCAGUAGACAGUAGAUUUUGGAUAUGGUUAAUUACUCUCUUGAGAUAGAAGGUAUUCGCCGUUUGGAGUGGCCUGCGAUGGCUCCAAACAUGAAUCCACGGGUGUCCAUAUAAAAAUUUUUAGGGGGGGCAGGCAUUAAGAUGUUGCACCACUUUAUAUUUUAUAUACUUUGGGGGAUGCUUUGUACACCCGAAAAGCUAGGGGGGGCACGGCCCUAUUGGCGUCCAUGCAUGAAUCCCAUUGAACAUAUCUGGGAGAAUAUGUCACAGGAAUGAUUGGUAGACUUGUUAGCAGCAUUAGAGCUCUAAUCCAGGCUUGUAUCAAUACUCAUGAGUGGAAUACGGGGUUAUUAAAAUGGUUAUAUAGGUUUUAAUAAGAAAUACACUUUUCAGUUUUUAA